GCGCGAUAUGUCACGUGCCCACCUUCUUGAAUGUUCCGCCACUCGUUAGCUUGACUCAGAAGACUCAGCCUUCUGUUGCCAAUGAUCUUCAUUGACAUGGCUGGUGACACCUCCGUAACCACAGACGUCUUCAGGUGAUUUCAGGAUACACCAGACUCCUUCAGGUGUUGCCAAUAAACGAUACCAUACCGGAAACAGACCACCUGCAAAGUGACGGCCACAGUUCAGUUGCUAUUUGCACUGUUCUCCGGUAUUCGGGCACUUACCUGAGCGAGGCCACGGAAACCGGAGAUUGGUUAACAGCGGCUACGAAAGCACAUACCUCAACAUUGUAUUGGACCUAUGGUUGAGCUUGGCCUCCUCUGGAGCACCGAACAGUGGUGACGAAACCCCAGCCUGCUUCAGACGUUUUCGCACUUCUCCUGGGGCGGCACCUUCGUAUGCAUCGGCAGCAAAAAGAGCUGAGCAAACACGUCCUGUGUCUUGA